rnacentral:rRNA from 1 species
ACGGGUGAGUAACGCGUGGAUAAUCUACCCUUAAGAUGGGGAUAACGGCUGGAAACGGUCGCUAAUACCGAAUACGCUCCCGAUUUUAUCGUUGGGGGGAAAGAUGGCCUCUGCUUGCAAGCUAUCGCUUAAGGAUGAGUCCGCGUCCCAUUAGCUAGUUGGCGGGGUAGCGGCCCACCAAGGCAACGAUGGGUAGCCGGUCUGAGAGGAUGACCGGCCACACUGGAACUGGAACACGGUCCAG